UACAGAGGGUGCGAGCGUUGUCCGGAAUCACUGGGCGUAAAGGGCGCGUAGGCGGCCUGGUAAGCGUGCGGUGAAAGCCCGGGGCUCAACCCCGGGUCGGCCGUGCGAACUGCGAGGCUGGAGCACUGUAGAGGCAGGUGGAAUUCCGGGUGUAGCGGUGGAAUGCGUAGAGAUCCGGAAGAACACCGGUGGCGAAGGCGGCCUGCUGGGCAGUGGCUGACGCUGAGGCGCGACAGCGUGGGGAGGCAAACAGG
rnacentral:rRNA from 1 species